rnacentral:snRNA from 1 species
UUGCGAUUAUGUUGUCUUAGUCU